rnacentral:rRNA from 1 species
CGGCGGACGGGUGAGUAACGCGUGGGUAACCUGCCCCAUACAGGGGGAUAACAGUUGGAAACGGCUGCUAAUACCGCAUAAGCGCACAGUACCGCAUGGUACGGUGUGAAAAACUCCGGUGGUAUGAGAUGGACCCGCGUCUGAUUAGGUAGUUGGUGGGGUAACGGCCUACCAAGCCGACGAUCAGUAGCCGACCUGAGAGGGUGACCGGCCACAUUGGGACUGAGACACGGCCCAA